GUAUCCCGACCGUGCUAAGGUAGCAUAAUCAUUUGCCUUUUAAUUGGAGGCUAGUAUGAAUGGGAAGACGUAGAUUCAGCUGUUUCUAUAUUAUAAAUAAAACUUAAACUUUAGGUGAAGAUGCCUAAAUUUUAUAGAAAGACAAGAAGACCCUAUAGAGUUUUAGUUAAACCUACUAAUCUAUUGUAAUAUAACUUUGGUUGGGGCGACCUAGGAUUUUCAUAAACAUCCUACUAACUUACGAUAUUUUAUUCUUAUAAAUUGACCCUAUAACGGAUUAUCAGAAAUAACUACCUUAGGGAUAACAGGCUUAUCUUCCUAGAGAGCUCUUAUUGAUAGGAUGGUUUGGCACCUCG
rnacentral:rRNA from 1 species